UACGAAGGGGGCUAGCGUUGCUCGGAAUCACUGGGCGUAAAGGGUGCGUAGGCGGGUCUUUAAGUCAGGGGUGAAAUCCUGGAGCUCAACUCCAGAACUGCCUUUGAUACUGAGGAUCUUGAGUAUGGGAGAGGUGAGUGGAACUGCGAGUGUAGAGGUGAAAUUCGUAGAUAUUCGCAAGAACACCAGUGGCGAAGGCGGCUCACUGGCCCAUUACUGACGCUGAGGCACGAAAGCGUGGGGAGCCAAAGCAGG
rnacentral:rRNA from 1 species